AUUGAACGCUGGCGGCAUGCCUUACACAUGCAAGUCGAACGGUAACGGGCCUUCGGGUGCCAACGAGUGGCGAACGGGUGAGUAAUGUAUCGGAACGUACCUUUCAGUGGGGGAUAACGUAGCGAAAGUUACGCUAAUACCGCAUAUUCUGUGAGCAGGAAAGCAGGGGAUCGCAAGACCUUGCGCUGAUUGAGCGGCCGAUAUCAGAUUAGCUAGUUGGUGAGGUAAAGGCUCACCAAGGCGACGAUCUGUAGCGGGUCUGAGAGGAUGAUCCGCCACACUGGAACUGAGACACGGUCCAGACUCCUACGGGAGGCAGCAGUGGGGAAUUUUGGACAAUGGGGGCGAACCCUGAUCCAGCCAUGCCGCGUGAGUGAAGAAGGCCUUCGGUUGGUUAAAGGACUCUUUCGGUCCGGGUAACGGAAAUCGUAUGGUUAAGUACCU
rnacentral:rRNA from 1 species